UACGGGGGGGGCAAGCGUUGUUCGGAAUUACUGGGCGUAAGGGCUCGUAGGCGGCCAACUAAGUCGGACGUGAAAUCCCUCGGCUCAACCGGGGAACUGCGUCCGAUACUGGUGGGCUCGAAUCCGGGAGAGGGAUGUGGAAUUCCAGGUGUAGCGGUGAAAUGCGUAGAUAUCUGGAGGAACACCGGUGGCGAAGGCGGCAUCCUGGACCGGUAUUGACGCUGAUGCGCGAAAGCCAGGGGAGCAAACGGG
rnacentral:rRNA from 1 species